GGUCCCUCAGGAGGGGGGGUGGUGCCAGUAGGGAGGGAGAGUCAGAGACUUGAGAAGACUGGAGGUCUUGGAGCAGCGCCUUUAGCAUCGCCACCUAUCCCAGACUGUACUCUGAGCAACAGGGACACAGCCAUGAAUGGGACAUGCAAGGCCCUUCCUCUCACGUCAAGUCUGCUUCUCUAAGGGAGACGAGGCAAAAGAAACAUCAGAGUGUAUAGGUAUGAGAUUGACUACCUUGGGAGAAGGAUGUGACACUAAGCUGAAGGCAGAGGGAAAAACGUGUCAUGCAGAGGUCAGAGCACAUGGUAAAGGGGAAAAAAACAGUCUAGCUUGUCAGUUUGAGCAUGUAUGGGCAGGUCUCUGUAAGUCAUAACGAGUAGUUCAUAUUCCGUGAGCAAGACAACACCAAGGGAUUCCUAACCAAGUUUCGGCAGAAGGGUAGGAUGGUGAGGAAGAGGCAGGAAAACCCUUGCAGUCACCAGGACAAGGUCACAGAGACCAGACUAAGGUAAAGAUGGAGAAGGGGACAGCAAACAGGCUCAAAUGCCUUGAGGGUGGUCUCGAUGUGCCUUGCUGAUGACCUCAACAUGCAGCGUAAGGAAAGAAUCCUAAUUUAUGUUUUGUUUUGAUUUUGUUUUUCAAGACAGAGUUCCUCUGUGUGGCCUUGGAUAUCCUAGAACUCUCUCUCUCUGUAGACCAGGCUGGCCUUCAACUCAUAGAGAUCCUCCUGACUCUGCCUCACUACCAGUCUAACUGCUGGGAUUAAAGGCAUGCACCACCACUGCCUGGUCCCUGAAAAACUAUUAAGUUUGAGGAAAGUCUAGUGACUAGGAGCCCUGGUUUAUCUCCCUACUGAGCCUACGGUUGUGACGUGAGACAAACGAGGAAUGCCCUAAGUGAUUGGUGCUGACGUAGCUCCUCUGGCCUGAGUUGAUCCACUUUCAACUCCCUGGGCAGCCCUGGAGACGAUGUGGGAACGUGAUGAAUGAUCUUGUCUUCCCGACAAAGAAGGUGAGCACCAGGCCACUGGCAGUCACAUCUCUGUGAGCUCAGGCCCCGAAGAAACAGGACUGCGGAGCUCCUGGUCAUACAGGCCCAGGCAACUCUGGACAGAGAGGGGAGGGCUGGCAAGAAUCGGCCCCUCGGCUUCUGCUACAACCCAUGCUAAAGACAGAAGCUUCUGCAGCUGGCAUCUGUGAGUGGGUGCCUCCCAAGGACAGGGGAGACAGUGGCCCCUCCCGGCCCUAGGCAAGCCUGAGAGGUGGGAACUGUUCCUCUGAGCAGGGAACGGAACUUCACCAGCCCUGAGAGGGAUUGGUCAUUUUCUCCUGGCUUAUUUAUCAUCAUUCUUCUAGCCUCUCUCACCAGCCAGGAGCCCUCUGUCUUUCCCAUACAGCUCAAACAUGCUCAGUUCUUUCUCUCUCUGGAGGGAAACAAACAACCUAAACACACACACACACACACACACAGACACACACACACACACACACCACAGCUUCCCUCCUUUACCUUUUGCCAUUCCUUCUCAGCAGAGAUUUUUUUAAGAGUUGUCUCCAAUUAGUUAUUUUGUCAAAUCUGAUUCCUUCUUCAACCCACUGCAAUCUGCUUCCGCCCCCACCAUGCCCCUGAAAUGGCUCUCACUAGGCCCACCGUGUUGCUAAAUCCACUGGACAUACUUGGUCCACAUCCCUCUCACUCCCCCACAGAGCUCACACAGCUGCCACGCUUCCUUCCUGACACCGACUGCUGUGCUUCCAGGAUAUCUACUCCGGAGGGUCUCCUGACACUCUCUGGGUCCACCUUCUGGGUCUCUGUAGCUGCCUUCCUUUCUCCAUCUAACCCUUCAAUGCUGCCCCCUGCCCCAACAGUCCAUGCUCUGCAGGCAUGUCAGAUGUUAUGGAUUUUAAGAAACUUCUAGCUGGCGAGCUGGUUCAGCAGGUACAGUAUCCUCGGCCCAAGCCUGAUGACCUGGGUAUGAUCCCCAGCAGUGCACAGAGUUGUCCUCUGACCUUUACAAGGGUUCAGUGGUGAUGUGUGUGUAUAAACAAAACCAAACAAUUAUAAAAAGCAGUCUCUAAAUUACGGGCUAAUGAGACAGCUCAAUUGAUGAAGCAUUUGCCGAACAGGACUGACAAUUUGAUCCAAGGAACCUCAAACCCAAAACCCAUGUAAAUCAGGGAAGGAGAGAACCCACAGAGUUGUUCUCUGACCUAUACAUAUAUGCCACGGUUUGAGCACAUGCUCUCUCUCUCACACACACACACACACACACACACACACACACACACACACACUCUCUCUCUCCACAAUAAAAACUGUGUAAUACAGAAUUAUCUACAUACCAGUGUUUCCAGACCCUUCUCUCCCUCAGAGAAGUCCCUAUUAGGUCCUUCCUCUCCCUCUCCCGGGCCCGUAUCACUCCAGACAAGCCACACUCCUCCACAUUUGGCCUAGUUCCUCUGGUCCCCAUCGCGCUCACAGGUGUGGCCAUGAACACAGCAAACAGCCAAGACUAAAACCCUUGCUUUGUCUCCACACCUCUCUCCUCUCUCACAGUGAUGUAUCCCUUUAUCCCAUAAACUGCCUCGCCCAUGAGCACGUUCACCA